rnacentral:tRNA from 1 species
GCGUUGGUGGUUUAGUGGUAAAAUUCAUCGUUGCCAGUAGCAGCACGUCUCACUCCUCAUCCUGGAAUAUCAUCAUGAUGGGGCUGGACAGGCUGUAUCUAUCAACCUCGAUGAGCCCCGGGUUCGAUUCCCGGCCGACGCA